rnacentral:rRNA from 1 species
AUUGAACGCUGGCGGCAGGCCUAACACAUGCAAGUCGAACGGUAACAGGAAACAGCUUGCUGUUUCGCUGACGAGUGGCGGACGGGUGAGUAAUGUCUGGGAAACUGCCUGAUGGAGGGGGAUAACUACUGGAAACGGUAGCUAAUACCGCAUAACGUCGCAAGACCAAAGAGGGGGACCCUCGGGCCUCUUGCCAUCGGAUGUGCCCAGAUGGGAUUAGCUUGUUGGUGGGGUAACGGCUCACCAAGGCGACGAGCCCUAGCUGGUCUGAGAGGAUGACCAGCCACACUGGAACUGAGACACGGUCCAGACUCCUACGGGAGGCAGCAGUGGGGAAUAUUGCACAAUGGGCGCAAGCCUGAUGCAGCCAUGCCGCGUGUAUGAAGAAGGCCUUCGGGUUGUAAAGUACUUUCAGCGGGGAGGAAGGGAGUAAAGUUAAUACCUUUGCUCAUUGACGUUACCCGCAGAAGAAGCACCGGCUAACUCCGUG